rnacentral:rRNA from 1 species
UGAGAAACCCAAAAGAUCGAAUGGGGAGAUUCAUCGUCAGCUCAUUUUGUAUAUGUAUGAGUUAUGAUGCGNNAGUUACUCUUNNGUAGUAUUGCUNUGUACGUACUUAUACAUUUAUUUGCAAGAUGUUGUCGGCGUGCACUUCUCCCCUAGUAGGACGUCGCGACCCGUUGGGUGUCGGUUUACGACCCGAGNUGGUAGACUUUAAUAUUNNUUANNUUGUAUUAAAGACCCUUGGUGUUNUUCUGACCGACUGCCCGGCGGUACUCGUACGGUAUUUUGCCGCAUNUUNANNNUUUGCGUCCAUGUCCGUCGCAAGCGAGGCUAAUUUCUGGUAGUNGCGGACCUAGUGCCGUCG